GCAGAGCCGAGAAUGGGAGACGAGUGAGUCGUCUGAGCAGCACCCCGGCCUCCUCGCCGCUCUCGCCUCGCUCUCGUGGCCUGCCCGCCCGCCCACCCGCUUGCUUGCCACCCAGAAUACCUUCCACCAUGGCCACCUCAGCAAGUUCCCACUUGAAUAAAGGCAUCAAGCAGGUGUACAUGUCCCUGCCUCAGGGCGAGAAGGUCCAAGCUAUGUAUAUCUGGAUCGAUGGCACUGGAGAAGGACUGCGCUGCAAGACCCGUACCCUGGACUGUGAGCCCAAGUGUGUAGAAGAGUUGCCUGAGUGGAAUUUUGAUGGCUCUAGUACUUUUCAGUCUGAAGGCUCCAACAGUGACAUGUAUCUCGUGCCUGCUGCCAUGUUUCGGGACCCCUUCCGCAAGGACCCCAACAAGCUGGUGUUCUGUGAAGUUUUCAAGUACAACCGAAAGCCUGCAGAGACCAAUUUAGGACACACCUGUAAACGGACAAUGGACAUGGUAGGCAAUCAGCGCCCCUGGUUUGGAAUGGAGCAAGAAUACACCCUCAUGGGGACAGAUGGGCACCCCUUCGGUUGGCCUUCCAACGGCUUCCCUGGGCCCCAAGGUCCAUAUUACUGUGGUGUGGGAGCAGACAGAGUCUAUGGCAGGGAUAUCGUGGAGGCUCACUACCGGGCCUGCUUGUAUGCUGGAGUCAAGAUUGCAGGGACGAAUGCUGAGGCCAUGCCUGCCCAGUGGGAAUUCCAAAUAGGACCGUGUGAAGGUAUCAGCAUGGGAGAUCAUCUCUGGGUGGCCCGCUUCAUCUUGCAUCGUGUAUGUGAAGACUCUGGAGUGAUAGCAACCUUUGAUCCCAAGCCCAUUCCUGGAAACUGGAAUGGUGCAGGCUGCCAUACCAACUUCAGCACCAAGGCCACACGGGAGGAGAAUGGUCUGAAGUACAUUGAGGAGGCCAUUGAAAAGCUAAGUAAGUGGCACCAGUACCACAUUCGUGCCUACAACCCCAAGGGGGCCUGGACAAUGCCUGGAACCUAACUGGAUUCCAGGAAACCUCCAACAUCAACGACUUCUCUGCUGGCGUAGCCAACUGUGGCGCCAGCAUCCGCAUUCCCUGGGCUGUCAGCCAGGAGAGAAGGGGCUACUUUGAAGACCGUCACCCCUCUGCCAACUGCGACCCCUUUGCGGUGACAGAAGCCCUCAUCCGCACAUGUCUUCUCAAUGAAACCGGCGACGAGCCCUUCCAAUACAAACACUAAGUGGACUAGACUCCAGCCGUCAAAC